rnacentral:rRNA from 1 species
AACGAACGCUGGCGGCAUGCCUAACACAUGCAAGUCGAACGAGACCUUCGGGUCUAGUGGCGCACGGGUGCGUAACCCGUUGGAACCUGCCCUUAGGUUCGGAAUAACUCCCCGAAAGGGGUGCUAAUACCGGAUAUUGUCUCCGGACCAAAGAUUUAUCGCCUUUGGAUGGGCCCGCGUUGGAUUAGCUAGUUGGUAGGGUAAAAGCCUACCAAGGCGACGAUCCAUAGCUGGUCUGAGAGGAUGAUCAGCCACACUGGGACUGAGACACGGCCCAGACUCCUACGGGAGGCAGCAGUGGGGAAUAUUGGACAAUGGGCGAAAGCCUGAUCCAGCAAUGCCGCGUGAGUGAUGAAGGCCUUAGGGUUGUAAAGCUCUUUUACCAGGGAUGAUAAUGACAGUACCGGGAGAAUAAGCUCCGGCUAAAUCCGUG